AGUGAACGCUGGCGGUAGGCCUAACACAUGCAAGUCGAGCGGCAGCACAGUAAGAGCUUGCUCUUACGGGUGGCGAGUGGCGGACGGGUGAGGAAUACAUCGGAAUCUACUUUUUCGUGGGGGAUAACGUAGGGAAACUUACGCUAAUACCGCAUACGACCUACGGGUGAAAGCAGGGGAUCUUCGGACCUUGCGCGAUUGAAUGAGCCGAUGUCGGAUUAGCUAGUUGGCGGGGUAAAGUCCCACCAAGGCGACGAUCCGUAGCUGGUCUGAGAGGAUGAUCAGCCACACUGGAACUGAGACACGGUCCAGACUCCUACGGGAGGCAGCAGUGGGGAAUAUUGGACAAUGGGCGAAAGCCUGAUCCAGCCAUACCGCGUGGGUGAAGAAGGCCUUCGGGUUGUAAAGCCCUUUUGUUGGGAAAGAAAAGCAGCAGGUUAAUACCCCGAUGUUCUGACGGUACCCAAAGAAUAAGCACCGGCUAACUUCGUG
rnacentral:rRNA from 1 species